UGAUGUCAAUGAUGUUUUAUUACCUACAUUGUUUGAUUCGAUGUGAUAACAUUUUUAGUUCACUGAGACAUCG
rnacentral:snoRNA from 1 species